AAAAAGUUUGAUUAUUUGAUUGUGGUACGCACAUUUUAAUAAUAAGAAGAGUACAUAUUAUUAUAUUGAAAAAAUAAAAAAAUUUAGACCUUAGUACAUAAAAUUAAGCAAUUAAAGCAAUUUGGACUUAGUUCUUAUAAUGUAAGCGGCGAAUAGAAGUGCCAGCAGCCGUGGUUAAACUUCUGCUUGCUAAAAUGUUUUCAGUUAUGUUAGAUGCAUAAAACAAAAAGUUUUUCAUGGGUGGCUUUAAUUGGUUAAAUAUAAUAAAGUAUUUCAAAUUGAUUUAAAACUUUCCUGUUUCUUACUUGAACUUGAUCAAAAACCGGGAUUAGAUACCCCGUUAUUCCUGGGGUAAAAUAAAGUUACUAGGUGACUAAAAGUGAAAGCUUCAAAGUCAAACAAAUAGGCGGUCUUUAAUAAACAAACAGGGGAAUCUGAGAGUUAAAAGAUGGUCCACUUAAAUUUGUGCCUUGUCUUAAUAUGUGCGUGUGUAUGGUUGUUGAUAUCGAUGUGUGUAAAACAUAGGUAAAAACUUGGUGAGAUACCAAAAAUAAUUCAGAUUAACAUGCAGCUAUGUCAAGGAUUUUUUGGAUUACAUUUGGAAGUUAACAUUGACGAAUGUUGGUAAUAAAUUGCUAAAUUGAAGAAGGACUUGUAAGUAAAUUUCUCUAAUAUUGUGAUGCUGAAAGUUUAAGUAAAGAAGUACUAAUCGCCCGUCGCUCGCAGAGAAAUCUGGGAUAAGUCGUAACAAGGUAACUCUACUGGAAAGUGGUGUUAAAAUA
rnacentral:ncRNA from 1 species